AGAGCGAACGCUGGCGGCAGGCCUAACACAUGCAAGUCGAGCGGCCGUAGCAAUACGGCAGCGGCAGACGGGAUAGUAACACGUGGGAACGCGCCCUUCGGUUCGGAAUAACUCAGGGAAACUUGAGCUAAUACCGGAUACGCCCUUACGGGGAAAGAUUUAUUGCCGAAGGAACGGCCCGCGUCCGAUUAGCUAGUUGGUGAGGUAAUGGCUCACCAAGGCUACGAUCGGUAGCUGGUCUGAGAGGAUGACCAGCAUCACUGGGACUGAGACACGGCCCAGACUCCUACGGGAGGCAGCAGUGGGGAAUAUUGGACAAUGGGCGCAAGCCUGAUCCAGCCAUGCCGCGUGGAUGAUGACGGCCUUAGGUGUAAAGCUCUUUCAGUAGGGAAGAUAAUGACGGUACCUACAGAAGAAGCCCCGGCUAACUUCGUGCCAGCAGCCGC
rnacentral:rRNA from 1 species